rnacentral:pre_miRNA from 17 species
AGCAGUAGCAGUGCAGGCUGGUUUCUGCAUGGGUGGGGAUUUGUUGCAUUACUGGGUCUUGUGUUAACAGUAUUGCACUUGUCCCGGCCUGUGGAGGACAAAAAGACUUGACGGCAAAUGGA